CCCAAAUUUGCCUUUCCUUCAAGUUCACCAGUUUUGACAGCACUCGCUCUUCCGAAUUCCUGUAACAGGUAUUUCAAUAAGUCAUGGACAGAAACUUACAAAAGAUUUUCAUCGUCUAUACCAAAGCAGAAGAAAGAAACAGUAACUAUUUAUUUUGUUGAUCGUGAUGGUGAUUGUAUUGAAGCUAAAGGCGAUGUAGGCAACAAUUUUCUCAAUCUUGCUAUAAACAAUGAUGUUGAAUUGGAAGGUGCGUGUGAAGGCACCCUGGCUUGCUCCACCUGCCAUCUAAUCUUCAAACAAGCAGAUUAUGACAAAUUACCUGAAACACCCACUGAUGAAGAAUUGGACAUGUUAGAUCUAGC